rnacentral:rRNA from 1 species
AUUGAACGCUGGCGGCAGGCCUAACACAUGCAAGUCGAACGGUAACAGGAAGAAGCUUGCUUCUUUGCUGACGAGUGGCGGACGGGUGAGUAAUGUCUGGGAAACUGCCUGAUGGAGGGGGAUAACUACUGGAAACGGUAGCUAAUACCGCAUAACGUCGCAAAACCAAAGAGGGGGACCUCCGGGCCUCUUGCCAUCGGAUGUGCCCAGAUGGGAUUAGCUAGUAGGUGGGGUAACGGCUCACCUAGGCGACGAUCCCUAGCUGGUCUGAGAGGAUGACCAGCCACACUGGAACUGAGACACGGUCCAGACUCCUACGGGAGGCAGCAGUGGGGAAUAUUGCACAAUGGGCGCAAGCCUGAUGCAGCCAUGCCGCGUGUAUGAAGAAGGCCUUCGGGUUGUAAAGUACUUUCAGCGGGGAGGAAGGGAGUAAAGUUAAUACCUUUGAUCAUUGACGUUACCCGCAGAAGAAGCACCGGCUAACUCCGUGCCAGCAGCCGCGGUAAUACGGAGGGUGCAAGCGUUAAUCGGAAUUACUGGGCGUAAAGCGCACGCAGGCGGUUUGUUAAGUCAGAUGUGAAAUCCCCGGGCUCAACCUGGGAACUGCAUCUGAUACUGGCAAGCUUGAGUCUAAUAGAGGGGGGUAGAAUUCCAGGUGUAGCGGUGAAAUGCGUAGAGAUCUGGAGGAAUACCGGUGGCGAAGGCGGCCCCCUGGACGAAGACUGACGCUCAGGUGCGAAAGCGUGGGGAGCAAACGGGAUUAGAUACCCUGGUAGUCCACGCCGUAAACGAUGUCGACUUGGAGGUUGUGCCCUUGAGGCGUGGCUUCCGGAGCUAACGCGUUAAGUCGACCGCCUGGGGAGUACGGCCGCAAGGUUAAAACUCAAAUGAAUUGACGGGGGCCCGCACAAGCGGUGGAGCAUGUGGUUUAAUUCGAUGCAACGCGAAGAACCUUACCUGGUCUUGACAUCCACGGAAGUUUUCAGAGAUGAGAAUGUGCCUUCGGGAACCGUGAGACAGGUGCUGCAUGGCUGUCGUCAGCUCGUGUUGUGAAAUGUUGGGUUAAGUC